GACGAACGCUGGCGGCGUGCUUAACACAUGCAAGUCGAACGGAAAGGCUCCAGCUUGCUGGAGUACUCGAGUGGCGAACGGGUGAGUAACACGUGGGUAAUCUGCCCUGCACUCUGGGAUAAGCCUGGGAAACUGGGUCUAAUACUGGAUAUGACCUUUCUCCUUAUGGGGUUUGGUGGAAAGUUUUUCGGUGUAGGAUGAGCCCGCGGCCUAUCAGCUUGUUGGUGGGGUGAUGGCCUACCAAGGCGACGACGGGUAGCCGGCCUGAGAGGGUGAUCGGCCACAUUGGGACUGAGAGACGGCGCAGACUCCUACGGGAGGCAGCAGUGGGGAAUAUUGCACAAUGGGCGGAAGCCUGAUGCAGCGACGCCGCGUGAGGGAUGACGGCCUUCGGGUUGUAAACCUCUUUCAGCAGGGACGAAGCGUAAGUGACGGUACCUGCAGAAGAAGCACCGGCUAACUAUGUG
rnacentral:rRNA from 1 species